rnacentral:rRNA from 1 species
AGCGAACGCUGGCGGCAGGCCUAACACAUGCAAGUCGAACGAACCUUUCGGGGUUAGUGGCGGACGGGUGAGUAACACGUGGGAACGUGCCUUUAGGUUCGGAAUAACUCAGGGAAACUUGUGCUAAUACCGAAUGUGCCCUUCGGGGGAAAGAUUUAUCGCCUUUAGAGCGGCCGGCGUCUGAUUAGCUAGUUGGUUGAGGUAAUGGCUCACCAAGGCGACGAUCAGUAGCUGGUCUGAGAGGAUGAUCAGCCACAUUGGGACUGAGACACGGCCCAAACUCCUACGGGAGGCAGCAGUGGGGAAUCUUGCGCAAUGGGCGAAAGCCUGACGCAGCCAUGCCGCGUGAAUGAUGAAGGUCUUAGGAUUGUAAAAUUCUUUCACCGGUGACGAUAAUGACGGUACCCGGAGAAAAAGCCCCGGCUAACUUCGUG